rnacentral:misc_RNA from 1 species
AGCAGCCGCGGUAAUCCCAGCUCCAAUAGCGUAUAUUAAAGUUGUUGCAGUUAAAAGCUCGUAGUUGAACUUCGGGGUUUACCCAUUGGUCAGGCUUAAUUGUCUGUACUGGUGAGAUGAAUCUCUACCUUCUGAGGAACUUUCAUGCCAUUUAUUUGGUGUGAUGGGAAAUCAGGACUGUUACUUUGAAAAAUUAGAGUGUUUAAAGCAGGCUAACGUCUGAAUACAUUAGCAUGGAAUAAUGAAAUAGGACGGACUGAUUCUAUUUCGUUGGUUUCUAGGAUCACCGUAAUGAUUAAUAGGGAUAGUUGGGGGCAUUAGUAUUCAAUUGUCAGAGUGAAAUUCUGGAUUAUUGAAGACUAACUACUGCGAAAGCAUUUGCCAAGGAUGUUUUCAUUAANCAAGAACGAAAGUUAGGGGAUCGAAGACGAUCAGAUACCGUCGUAGUCUUAACCAUAAACUAUGCCGACUAGGGAUCGGACGAAGUUAAUUUUAUAAUGACGCGUUCGGCACCUUACGG